rnacentral:rRNA from 1 species
CCUACGGGUGGCAGCAGUCGAGAAUCAUUCACAAUGGGGGAAACCCUGAUGGUGCGACGCCGCGUGGGGGAAUGAAGGUCUUCGGAUUGUAAACCCCUGUCAUGUGGGAGCAAAUUAAAAAGAUAGUACCACAAGAGGAAGAGACUGCUAACUCUGUGCCAGCAGCCGCGGUCAUACAGAGGUCUCAAUCGUUGUUUGGAAUCACUGGGCGUAAAGCGUUCGUAGGCUGUUUAGUAAGUAGUGUGUUAAAGGCGCGGGCUAAACCCGCUGACGGCUGAUGAUACUGCGAGACUAGAGUAAUGGAGGGGGAACCGGAAUUCUCGGUGUAGCAGUGAAAUGCGUAGAUAUCGAGAGGAACACUCGUUGCGAAGGCGGGUUCCUGGACAUUAACUGACGCUGAGGCACGAAGGCCAGGGGAGCGAAAGGGAUUAGAUACCCUGGUAGUC